rnacentral:sRNA from 1 species
AAGUUGUGUGCAGGUGCUGAGUGGCCUCCCUCACAGGCUGGGACUGGGCCUCUGGAGCAGAAUACAAGUCACUUGAUGAUUGUGAGGAGCUGGUGAUCAAUGCUACAGCGACAAUCAACAAUUUAUCUUACUACCAAGUGAAGAAUUCCAUAAUUCAAGACAAAAAGCUAUAUAUUGCUGAAUUGCUCUUAAAGCUUCUUGUCAGUAACAAUAUGGAUGGAAUCCUGGAGGCUGUGCGUGUUUUCGGAAAUCUCUCCCAGGACCAUGAUGUCUGCGAUUUCAUUGUGCAGAACAAUGUCCACAGGUUCAUGAUGGCGCUGCUGGAUGCUCAGCAUCAGGAUAUCUGCUUUUCUGCCUGUGGUGUUCUCCUCAAUCUCACUGUGGAUAAAGACAAGCGUGUCAUCUUGAAAGAAGGAGGUGGCAUUAAAAAGUUAGUGGACUGUUUAAGAGAUUUGGGUCCUACUGAUUGGCAGCUGGCCUGCUUGGUUUGUAAAACUUUAUGGAACUUCAGUGAAAACAUCACUAAUGCUUCGUCAUGUUUUGGAAAUGAAGACACCAACACACUCUU